CCUGCAGCCCAUGGAGAGGGAAACCCACGCUGGAGCAGGUUUUUCCCAGUUGCAGAGGGGAAUGAGAGUAGUACUGCAGCUACAGUGAGUACCUGGGGUCCAGCCAGGGUCAACCCACUACAUAAGGAAUUUGGCAGUGCUGGGAUUUUUUUCUCAAAUGGUAUAAAACCGAAUUUAAAAUAGGAAAAUAGUUUGCUAAAUUCUCCUCCGCCUAAGUGCAGCAAUUUUCCACAAACACAGCAAACUCUCACGAAGUGCAUGAAAGAAUAAUCAAUACAUUAUGUAGGAAGAAAUAAAGCCUGAAAUUAGAACAGUUUUAUGGCAAAUAAUCCAGUUGAAAUCCCAGGAGUAUUGUUAAUGUAUGGCACUUUGUUUUGCUUUACUUUUCAGUGUGUUUAAAGGUGACUGUUCAGGACAGAGAAUCUGAAGAGAUAAGAGUAUUAUAAAACUGCAAGAAUAGUUGACUUGCAUUACUAUAAACCUCAAAACAAUAAUGCAAUUAAUGACAAAUUGCCAGGAGACGUGUGCAGGAGUUCAAAAGGAGAUGCUCAAGGAAUCCUGGGUGUAGGCAGGCGCAGCAGACCAGGCCGCACAUAAGCAUACACGAUUAAGCCAAGUCUGAAAUCACGCAACAACGUCAAGCAACCUGGGAUGUACUUUCACCUAUGAACUACACCACAACAAGGCAAUCUGGAGAUUAUUCAAACUGGAGAUUAUUCAACUUCGGACCUCAUGACAACGCACACCACAGACAAGGUGACAAGCAUUUCAGCAGACUGACUGCCCCACAACAGGCAGCUUCAGGGAACAACAGAUUCUAGUGUACCCACACCGAAGGGAAGCAGAUGAUCUGGUACCUGGAAAUCAACCAUACAACACUGUACUACUACCAGGCUGCAAAACUAAACCAGUAUUUCAAAAAUCCUUUCAGUUAAAUGCCUUUCAUUAAAAAAAAAAAAAAAAAGACAAGAAUAAACCUUCUAAUCACAAUUCAUGCAUGUUUUGGUCACUAUAGCUCUAGAAACACCAAAAGCAACAUUAUCAAAGACAACAAAUUAAGAUAAACCCCAAAAUUUAGCACAAUAUUCAAGCUUGAAAUAACAGUACAAACAGUCAAAAAACUUUCUCAGGGGACCUGAGUUACAACAUGAGAAAUUUAAUGGUGUAUUAACAGAAUAGUGUGUGUUAACGUAGAAUUAUAAAUAUA